UUCCGGUUGAUCCCGCCGGAGGCGACCGCUAUUGGAGUUCGAUUAAGCCAUGCGAGUAGAAAGAAAUUAGAUUCUUUGCAUACUGCUCAGUAACACGUGGAUAACCUGCCCUACACUGGGGGAUAAGCUCGGGAAACUGAGUAUAAUACCCCAUAGACCACUACGCCUGGAACGGUGAGUGGUUGAAAGCUCAGGCGGUGUAGGAUGGGUCUGCGGCGUAUCAGGUCGUAGGGGGUGUAAUGGACCUCCUAGCCAUCGACGCGUACGGGUUGUGGGAGCAAUAGCCCGGAGACGGAUUCUGAGACACGAAUCCGGACCCUACGGGGUGCAGCAGGCGCGAAAACUUCACACUGCAGGAAACUGUGAUGAGGGAACUCCAAGUGACUGCCCAAUGGGUAGCCUUUUCUUGAAUCUUAAUAGUUCUUGGAAUAAGGGCUGGGAAAGACCGGUGCCAGCCGCCGCGGUAAUACCGGCAGCUCAAGUGGUCGUCGCUUUUAUUGGGCCUAAAACGUCCGUAGCCUGUUUGGUAAAUCUGUGGGUAAAUCAACGAGCUUAACUCGUUGAAUUCUGCAGAGACUGCCAGACUAGGGACCGGGAGAGGUAUGAGGUACUCUGGGGGUAGGGGUAAAAUCCUGUCAUCCUCAGAGGACCACCUGUUGCGAAGGCGUCAUACUGGAACGGAUCCGACGGUCAGGGACGAAGCCUAGGGGCACGAGCCGGAUUAGAUACCCGGGUAGUCCUAGGUGUAAACGCUGUGGAUUUGGUGUGUGGGGUCCGCAAUGGGCCCCAUGUGCCGGAGUGAAGAUGUUAAAUCCACUGCCUGGGGAGUACGGUCGCAAGGCCGAAACUUAAAGGAAUUGGCGGGGCAGCAC
rnacentral:rRNA from 1 species